GAAAAACAGUCUAGUUCUUGUUGCUGUUGAACAAAUCCUCUAAGGGCAGGUCUCCACAAGAAACUGACAGCUGUCUAACUGCAUUGCUCAUGUUGGAAAAAUCACACCCCUCAGCGACACAGUUAUACCGAUCUAACCCCCAGUGUAGACAGCGUUCUGUUGAAUGGGGGUGAGAGAGGGGUUCACCCAUCAACACAACUACUGCCUCUUGCAGAGGUAGAUUAAUUAUGGCGAUGGGAGAAGUUCUCCUGUUGGCGUAGUCCCAUCUUCACCUUGUUUUAGUGAUGAGGUCUCUCCAUACUCAGUACCGUGAAUGCCUGAUUCGCCCCUCUCUUACACUGACGUAGGUCAGGAGCAGCACAAUAGAAGUCAGUGGAGUUACACCAGUGUAAAAGAGAUCAGACAGAGUUGUAUUAAAUACUAGUACUAAUCCUCCCUCUCAUCUGGUUCCUUCUCCUGCUCUCUGCUUUGCAAGUUGUUCUUUUUAUCCCCUUCCUAGGCAUCCUUCCCCCUCUCCUGCUGCACAGCCUUCCCCUGCUGAUCUCCUUCAGGAUUGUCUCCAUGCCCCCUUGCAUUUCAGCUGGUAUCUGAGUAUCAUGUUGGUUUGACCCGAAGGGCAGGCUGCUCAGGGGGUGGGCUGGGGUGGGGCAGGAAUCAGUGUGUGUGUAUGUGUUCACACCAUGUGCUUUCUUAGGGCCCGUGUCUCCCACUGACAUCAGAUGGAGUCGAGUCCUCAGCCCCUAU